UACAGAGGGUGCAAGCGUUGCUCGGAAUUAUUGGGCGUAAAGGGUAGGUAGGCGGUCUUAUUUGUCUGGGGUGAAAGCCCAGGGCUUAACCCUGGAAGUGCCUCGGAAACGGUGAGACUGGAGUCUUGGAGAGGGUCGUGGAAUUCCCGGUGUAGCGGUGAAAUGCGUAGAGAUCGGGAGGAACACCAGAGGCGAAGGCGGCGACCUGGACAAGCACUGACGCUCAACUACGAAAGCGUGGGGAGCAAACAGG
rnacentral:rRNA from 1 species